rnacentral:rRNA from 1 species
AGUCGAGGGGUAUACUUCUUCGGGAGUAGAGACCGGCGCACGGGUGCGUAACGCGUAUGCAAUCUACCUUUUACAGAGGGAUAGCCCAGAGAAAUUUGGAUUAAUACCUCAUAGUAUAUAGAGUUGGCAUCAACACUAUAUUAAAGUCACAACGGUAAAAGAUGAGCAUGCGUCCCAUUAGCUAGUUGGUAAGGUAACGGCUUACCAAGGCUACGAUGGGUAGGGGUCCUGAGAGGGAGAUCCCCCACACUGGUACUGAGACACGGACCAGACUCCUACGGGAGGCAGCAGUGAGGAAUAUUGGACAAUGGGCGCAAGCCUGAUCCAGCCAUGCCGCGUGCAGGAUGACGGUCCUAUGGAUUGUAAACUGCUUUUAUACGAGAAGAAACACUCCGACGUGUCGGAGCUUGACGGUAUCGUAAGAAUAAGGAUCGGCUAACUCCGUGCCAGCAGCCGCGGUAAUACGGAGGAUCCAAGCGUUAUCCGGAAUCAUUGGGUUUAAAGGGUCCGUAGGCGGUUUAAUAAGUCAGUGGUGAAAGCCCAUCGCUCAACGGUGGAACGGCCAUUGAUACUGUUAGACUUGAAUUAUUAGGAAGUAACUAGAAUAUGUAGUGUAGCGGUGAAAUGCUUAGAGAUUACAUGGAAUACCAAUUGCGAAGGCAGGUUACUACUAAUUGAUUGACGCUGAUGGACGAAAGCGUGGGUAGCGAACAGGAUUAGAUACCCUGGUAGUCCACGCCGUAAACGAUGGAUACUAGCUGUUGGGAGCAAUUUCAGUGGCUAAGCGAAAGUGAUAAGUAUCCCACCUGGGGAGUACGUUCGCAAGAAUGAAACUCAAAGGAAUUGACGGGGGCCCGCACAAGCGGUGGAGCAUGUGGUUUAAUUCGAUGAUACGCGAGGAACCUUACCAAGGCUUAAAUGUAGAUUGACCGGUUUGGAAACAGACUUUUCGCAAGACAAUUUACAAGGUGCUGCAUGGUUGUCGUCAGCUCGUGCCGUGAGGUGUCAGGUUAAGUCCUAUAACGAGCGCAACCCCUGUUGUUAGUUGCCAGCGAGUCAAGUCGGGAACUCUAACAAGACUGCCAGUGCAAACU